UCGGAAUAAAUUUUUUUCUGGAUGCUACCGCAUAACUUUGGCCCACGUUAACCGAUUUCUAUAAUUCUUGUUUUAAAGGAAAAGUGUUACCUCACUGGUGAUCCCAUAUUAAUUUGGUUAAAACCGAACAUU